rnacentral:rRNA from 1 species
AGUGAACGCUGGCGGUAGGCCUAACACAUGCAAGUCGAACGGCAGCACAGUAAGAGCUUGCUCUUACGGGUGGCGAGUGGCGGACGGGUGAGGAAUACAUCGGAAUCUACUUUUUCGUGGGGGAUAACGUAGGGAAACUUACGCUAAUACCGCAUACGACCUACGGGUGAAAGCAGGGGAUCUUCGGACCUUGCGCGAUUGGAUGAGCCGAUGUCGGAUUAGCUAGUUGGCGGGGUAAAGGCCCACCAAGGCGACGAUCCGUAGCUGGUCUGAGAGGAUGAUCAGCCACACUGGAACUGAGACACGGUCCAGACUCCUACGGGAGGUAGCAGUGGGGAAUAUUGGACAAUGGGCGCAAGCCUGAUCCAGCCAUACCGCGUGGGUGAAGAAGGCCUUCGGGUUGUAAAGCCCUUUUGUUGGGAAAGAAAAGCAGCAGGUUAAUACCCCGCUGUUCUGACGGUACCCAAAGAAUAAGCACCGGCUAACUUCGUG